rnacentral:rRNA from 1 species
GCUUGUCUCAAAGAUUAAGCCAUGCACGUCUGAGAAUAAAGAGUUUUCUCUGAAUCUGCGAAUGGCUCAUUAUAUCAGUUAUAGUUUAUUUGAUAGUCCUUUACUACUUGGAUAACCGUAGUAAUUCUAGAGCUAAUACAUGCAUCAUCCCCCAUCUCGGGGUGUAUUUAUUAGAUGGAAACCAAUGCGGGGCAACCCGGAAUAUGGUGAAUCAUAAUAACUGUCGUAUCGAGCAAUCGAAGCGCCAUACAAGUUUCUGCCCUAUCAGCUUUGGAUGGUAGGGUAUUGGCCUACCAUGGCUUUAACGGGUAACGGAGAAUUAGGGUUCGAUUCCGGAGAGGGAGCCUGAGAAACGGCUACCACAUCCAAGGAAGGCAGCAGG